rnacentral:rRNA from 1 species
CCGUGAGGGAAAGGCGAAAAGAACCCCGGCGAGGGGAGUGAAAAAGAACCUGAAACCGUGUACGUACAAGCAGUGGGAGCACCCUUUGGGGUGUGACUGCGUACCUUUUGUAUAAUGGGUCAGCGACUUAUAUUCUGUAGCAAGGUUAACCGAAUAGGGGAGCCGGAGGGAAACCGAGUCUUAAUUGGGCGUUAAGUUGCAGGGUAUAGACCCGAAACCCGGUGAUCUAGCCAUGGGCAGGUUGAAGGUUGGGUAACACUAACUGGAGGACCGAACCGACUAAUGUUGAAAAAUUAGCGGAUGACCUGUGGCUGGGGGUGAAAGGCCAAUCAAACCGGGAGAUAGCUGGUUCUCCCCGAAAGCUAUUUAGGUAGCGCCUCGUGAAUUCAUCUCCGGGGGUAGAGCACUGUUUCGGCUAGGGGGCCAUCCCGGCUUACCAACCCGAUGCAAACUGCGAAUACCGGAGAAUGUUAUCACGGGAGACACACGGCGGGUGCUAACGUCCGUCGUGAAGAGGGAAACAACCCAGACCGCCAGCUAAGGUCCCAAAGUCAUGGUUAAGUGGGAAACGAUGUGGGAAGGCCCAGACAGCCAGGAUGUUGGCUUAGAAGCAGCCAUCAUUUAAAGAAAGCGUAAUAGCUCACUGGUCGAGUCGGCCUGCGCG